rnacentral:ncRNA from 1 species
GCUAUGAUGACGUUUGCCAGCCGGUGAUGCCCCACUUUAUCGGCGGUGUACGUUAUCACGUGCGUGAAUAAUUAUCCGAAGUCU